rnacentral:rRNA from 1 species
CACCGCGGUUAUACGAGAGGCCCAAGUUGAUGAAUUACGGCGUAAAGAGUGGUUAAGCUAAAAUUAAAACUAAAGCCGAACACCCCCAAAGCUGUUAUACGCAUCCGGAGGUGAGAAGUUCAACCACGAAGGUGGCUUUAUCUAACCUGAACCCACGAAAGCUACGGCA